rnacentral:lncRNA from 1 species
GUAAACUGGUGGUGGGGGAGAGUGAUAAAUUGGAGGAGGAGAGUAAUAAACUGGAGGAGGUGGUGAUUUAUACUCGUACUUUUUUGGUGGGGGAGGCGAAUAAUAAACUGGAGGGGGUGGAGAUUUAUAAACUGGUGGUGGUGGAGAGUGGUAAACAGGUGGUGGAGGAGAAUGGUAGACUGGAGGCGGUGGAGAUUUAUAAACUGGAGGUGGUGGAGAGUGGUAAACAGGUGGUGGAGGAGAAUGGUAAACUGGAGGGGGUGGAGAUUUAUAAACUGGAGGUGGUGGAGAGUGGUAAACAGGUGGUGGAGGAGAAUGGUAGACUGGAGGCGGUGGAGAUUUAUAAACUGGUGGUGGUGGAGAGUGGUAAACAGGUGGUGGAGGAGAAUGGUAAACUGGAGGGGGUGGAGAUUUAUAAACAGGUGGUGGUGGAGAGUGGUAAACAGGUGGUGGAGGAGAAUGGUAAACUGGUGGGGGUGGAGAUUUGUAAACUGGUGGUGGAGGAGAAUGGUAAACUGGUGGGGGUGGAGAUUUAUAAACGGGAGGUGGUGGAGAGUGGUAAACAGGUGGUGGAGGAGAAUAGUAAACUGGAGGGGGUGGAGAUUUGUAAACUGGUGGUGGAGGAGAAUGGUAAACUGGUGGGGGUGGAGAUUUAUAAACUGGAGGUGGUGGAGAGUAAACAGGUGGUGGAGGAGAAUGGUAAACUGGAGGUGGUGGAGAGUGAUAAAUAGGUGGUGGAGGAGAGUGGUAAACCGGAGGUGGUGGUGAUUUGUACUCAUACUUCACUUUUGGUGGCGGAGGAGAGGAAUAGACAGGAGGAGGAGGUGAUUUGUAUACAUAAUAAGGAGGUGGAGGAGAAGAAUAGACAUACUCAGCAGCAAGUACGGAUGGCAAACUUAGAGUCGCCACCAAAAUGGUUGCCAAAAGAUAGGCCAUGAGAGAGGGCCUAGAUUUCCUCAUAUUUCUUCCACAAUGGGAUUUUGGUU